CUUCGGUUUGGGUGGCGGACGGGUGAGUAACGCGUAAAGAACUUGCCUCACAGUUUGGGACAACAUUUGGAAACGAAUGCUAAUACCGAAUAUUAUGAUCGAAUGGCAUCAUUUGAUUAUGAAAGCUAUAUGCGCUGUGAGAGAGCUUUGCGUCCCAUUAGCUAGUUGGAGAGGUAACGGCUCACCAAGGCGAUGAUGGGUAGCCGGCCUGAGAGGGUGAACGGCCACAAGGGGACUGAGACACGGCCCUUACUCCUACGGGAGGCAGCAGUGGGGAAUAUUGGACAAUGGACCAAAAGUCUGAUCCAGCAAUUCUGUGUGCACGAUGAAGUUUUUCGGAAUGUAAAGUGCUUUCAGUUGGGAAGAAGAAAGUGACGGUACCAACAGAAGAAGUGACGGCUAAAUACGUGCCAGCAGCCGCGGUAAUACGUAUGUCACAAGCGUUAUCCGGAUUUAUUGGGCGUAAAGCGCGUCUAGGCGGUUAAUUAAGUCUGAUGUGAAAAUGCGGAGCUCAACUCCGUAUUGCGUUGGAUAAUGGUUAACUAGAGUACUGGAGAGGUAAGCGGAACUACAAGUGUAGAGGUGAAAUUUGUAGAUAUUUGUAGGAAUGCCGAUGGGGAAGCCAGCUUACUGGACAGAUACUGACGCUAAAGCGCGAAAGCGUGGGUAGCAAACAGGAUUAGAUAACCUGGUAGUCCACGCUGUAAACGAUGAUUACUAGGUGUUGGGGGUCGAACCUCAGCGCCCAAGC
rnacentral:rRNA from 1 species